rnacentral:rRNA from 1 species
UACGGGGGGGGCAAGCGUUGUUCGGAAUUACUGGGCGUAAAGGGUGUGUAGGCGGUUGUUUAAGUUUGGUGUGAAAUCUCCCGGCUCAACUGGGAGGGUGCGCCGAAUACUGAAUGACUUGGAGUGCGGGAGAGGAAAGUGGAAUUCCUGGUGUAGCGGUGAAAUUCGUAGAUAUCGGGAGGAACACCGGUGGCGAAGGCGGCCACCUGGACGGUCACUGACGCUGAGACGCGAAAGCGUGGGGAGCAAACAGG